rnacentral:rRNA from 1 species
AUUGAACGCUGGCGGCAUGCCUUACACAUGCAAGUCGAACGGCAGCACGGGUGCUUGCACCUGGUGGCGAGUGGCGAACGGGAGAGUAAUACAUCGGAACGUACCUUAUCGUGGGGGAUAACGCAGCGAAAGCUGUGCUAAUACCGCAUACGCCCUGAGGGGGAAAGCGGGGGAUCGAAAGACCUCGCGCGAUUAGAGCGGCCGAUGCCUGAUUAGCUUGUUGGUGGGGUAAGAGCCCACCAAGGCGACGAUCAGUAGCUGGUCUGAGAGGACGAUCAGCCACACUGGGACUGAGACACGGCCCAGACUCCUACGGGAGGCAGCAGUGGGGAAUUUUGGACAAUGGGGGCAACCCUGAUCCAGCAAUGCCGCGUGAGUGAAGAAGGCCUUCGGGUUGUAAAGCUCUUUUGUCAGGGAAGAAACACCGGCUCUAACACAGUCCGGGAAUGACGGUACCUGAAGAAUAAGCACCGGCUAACUACGUGCCAGCCGCCGCAGUAA